UUGCACUGUUUAAGUUAUGGACUUAAGAAAAAAGUGUUGAUUCCUUGCAGCAAUGGCUGCAAACAGUAGCCUCCUCGAUAGUUAUACAAGCAGCAGGCUUGUAUAAGUGGUCCUAAGGGACGGUGGAGACAGCC